AGAGUUUGAUCCUGGCUCAGAUUGAACGCUGGCGGCAUGCCUUACACAUGCAAGUCGAACGGUAACAGGUCUUCGGAUGCUGACGAGUGGCGAACGGGUGAGUAAUACAUCGGAACGUGCCCGAUCGUGGGGGAUAACGCAGCGAAAGCUGUGCUAAUACCGCAUACGAUCUACGGAUGAAAGCGGGGGAUCGCAAGACCUCGCGCGGACGGAGCGGCCGAUGGCAGAUUAGGUAGUUGGUGGGAUAAAAGCUUACCAAGCCGACGAUCUGUAGCUGGUCUGAGAGGACGACCAGCCACACUGGGACUGAGACACGGCCCAGACUCCUACGGGAGGCAGCAGUGGGGAAUUUUGGACAAUGGGCGAAAGCCUGAUCCAGCCAUGCCGCGUGCAGGAUGAAGGCCUUCGGGUUGUAAACUGCUUUUGUACGGAACGAAAAAGUUCUCUCUAAUGCAGGGGGCGAAUGACGGUACCGUAAGAAUAAGCACCGGCUAACUACGUGCCAGCAGCCGCGGUAAUACGUAGGGUGCAAGCGUUAAUCGGAAUUACUGGGCGUAAAGCGUGCGCAGGCGGUUAUAUAAGACAGAUGUGAAAUCCCCGGGCUCAACCUGGGAACUGCAUUAGUGACUGUAUAGCUAGAGUGCGGCAGANGGGGAUGGAAUUCCGCGUGUAGCAGUGAAAUGCGUAGAUAUGCGGAGGAACACCGAUGGCGAAGGCAAUCCCCUGGGCCUGCACUUGACGCUCAUGCACGAAAGCGUGGGGAGCAAACAGGAUUANAUACCCUGGUAGUCCACGCCCUAAACGAUGUCAACUGGUUGGUGGGGUCUUUACUUGACUCAGUAACGAA
rnacentral:rRNA from 1 species